rnacentral:rRNA from 1 species
GCCCGAAGUCAGUGGCCCAACUCUUUGAGAGGGAGCUGCCGAAGGUGGGGUUAGCGAUUGGGGUGAAGUCGUAACAAGGUAGCCGUACCGGAAGGUGCGGCUGGAUCACCUCCUUU